GGGCCUUGUUCACUGAAACUUGGUCUCCCCAUGUCGCUCUCUCUCCCAAAUUCUGGCUGAGUCUCCAUCUGGAGUGCGGAACCCGCCAUGCUUGCUAACUAUGCCUGGGCUUCUAAGAUCCGACCGGGGAGGCCUCAGUGUCUCCUCUCCUUCGGGAGAACGGAAGGACGCCUGUGGCCUAUUGCUGAUUACGUAGCAGCUCCCGUGAAACAUCUGUGGACUGAUAAGGCUGCAUCUUCAGGAGUUUUACCCCUUGUUUCUCUUCAGUAUAACCCUCUCCCCAGUGAUGAAUCAUCAGUCAUUGACAGCGAUCAUGGGAAAGAUGGGAUCUUCCUGACCCAGAGACUGAACUUGAAUUUCCUACGUUUCCUGCAUUGGCAGGUGGAAUCUUUACCACUGAGUCACCUGGGAAUUCUUUAAUAAUUU
ensembl:lncRNA